rnacentral:rRNA from 1 species
GACAGAGGGUGCAAACGUUGCUCGGAAUUACUGGGCGUAAAGCGCGUGUAGGUGGACUUGUAAGUCAGACGUGAAAUCCCCGGGCUCAACCCGGGAACUGCGCUUGAAACUACAAGUCUUGAGUGUUGGAGAGGAUCGUGGAAUUCCUGGUGUACAGGUGAAAUUGGUAGAUAUCAGGAGGAACACCGGUGGCGAAGGCGGCGAUCUGGACAACAACUGACACUGAGACGCGAAAGCGUGGGGAGCAAACAGG